rnacentral:misc_RNA from 1 species
UUAAGUUCAGCGGGUAGUCUUACUUGAUUUGAGAUCGAGUAUAACAAAAAGGCGAACCCUUUUGUGAAAAUCCUGCAUCAGUCAGCCAAAAUGGUCAAUCUCCCUUUAUGUUAGCUGCAGCAAAAGUAAUAAUCCGUUUGACGGGAUUAAAUGAAUAUGCUUUUAGCCCAGGAGAAAGUCCAGCUGCACCUGCAUUUCAA